ACAGACCCGACCCCAUAGAUCUGACCCCACAGAUCUGACCCCAUAGAUCUGACCCCAUAGAUCUCAAUGAGCCCCACAGAUCCGACCCCAUAGAUCUGACCCCACAGAUCUCAAUGAGCCCCAAAGAUCCAAACCCACAGAUCCGACCCCAUAGAUCUCAAGGAGCCCCACAGAUUCGACCCCACUGACCCACAGACCCAACAAACAACAGUAAGACCAAUCACCCCACAGAUCCCAUAAGAACGGCCCCACAGAUCGCCACCCGCUGGGCCCCAAAUAUCCCACCCUACAAGACCCCACAGACCCUACAAGACCCCAUAGAUCCUACAAGACCCCAUAAGACCCUACAAGACCCCAUAGAUCCUACAAGACCCCAUAAGACCCCACAGAUCCUACAAGACCCCACAGAUCCAAGCAAGACAAUAGGGAACAAUCCGCCACCCCAUAGAGCCGCCCUACAGAACCCACCCCAUAGAGCCACCCUACAGAGCCACCCUACAGAGCCACCCUACAGAGCCACCCUACAGAACCCACCCCAUAGAGCCACCCUACAGAG
ensembl:lncRNA